GGCUGGUUAGCUCAGUCAGUUGAGCGUGGCACUAAUAACGCUAAGGUCGCGGGUUCGAUUCCCGUUUGGUCCC
rnacentral:tRNA from 1 species